UACAGAGGUCCCAAGCGUUGUUCGGAUUCAUUGGGCGUAAAGGGUGCGUAGGUGGCGCCGUAAGUCGGGUGUGAAAUUUCGGAGCUUAACUCCGAAACUGCAUUCGAUACUGCGGUGCUUGAGGACUGGAAAGGAGACUGGAAUUCAUGGUGUAGCAGUGAAAUGCGUAGAGAUCAUGAGGAAGACCAGUGGCGAAGGCGGGUCUCUGGACAGUUCCUGACACUGAGGCACGAAGGCCAGGGGAGCAAACGGG
rnacentral:rRNA from 1 species